AAAAGCCAAUGCAUGCUUUUACAGUAUGAAAAUUGGUGAUUUAUAAUAACUUAGCAAAUCGCAUAGUGAAAACAGGCGAUAAAUCAUUCAAGUUUCUGACCUAUCAGCUUUCGACGGUAUGGUAUUGGCUUACCGUGGCAGUGACGGUUAACGGGGGAUUAGGGUUCGAUUCCGGAGAGGGAGCCUGAGAAACGGCUACCACAUCUAAGGAAGGCAGCAGGCGCGCAAAUUACCCAAUUCUAACAGUUUGAGAGAGGUAGUAACAAGAAAUAACAAUACAAGGCAGUUAAAAUGCUUUGUAAUUGGAAUGAUAGAAAUUUAAACCCUUUUUAAAGUAUCAAUUGGAGGGCAAGUCUGGUGCCAGCAGCCGCGGUAAUUCCAGCUCCAAUAGCGUAUAUUAAAAUUGUUGCAGUUAAAAAGCUCGUAGUUGAAGUUCUGCUAAAAGUAACCGGUCUGCUUUGAAUAAAAGUGGUAUCUUGGUAUGUAUUUAGCAAUGAUGUCCUUUGAAGUGUUUUUUACUUUAUUGUAAUAAAGCAUAUUCA
rnacentral:rRNA from 1 species